UGUCUGAACAGAAAAAGAAAGAAACUUUGCGAAAACUUAAAAGAGAAAUCCUCAAACAAACCAUAAACAGAAGAAAAAAAAUCAGAGGAAAGGAAAGGAGAAGAAGAUAGGAGAAAGAACGGAUUGAUUUGAUUUUUACUAUUCAAAAGGGAAUUUUUUUGUCAUCUUCAUUUUCUUUUCUUUGAUAUCAUCAUCAAUAUGGAUUCUGAACUCUGGGCAUCUCGUCUUGCUGCAGUCAAAAGGCAAUACACUCUGCAACAUCAACAGAACAACAACUCUCAACUAGAUCGGCUGAGCUUUGAUGAUAUUGAUGUAGAAGAGGAGAUUCGUUCUGAUUUUCCGUGUCCUUAUUGUUACGAAGAUUAUGAUAUUGUUUCUCUUUGUUCUCAUCUAGAGGAUGAACAUCCAUUCGAGUCAAAAGUGACGUUAUGCCCCAUUUGCUCUGUUAGGAUUUCUCGAGAUAUGCUGAAUCAUAUUACUUUGCAACAUGGACACCUGUUCAAGUUACAGAGACGUAGAAGAUUACGCAGAGUUGCCAUCCCUAACAGUCAGGCACUGUCUUUGUUGGGUCGAGAUCUCCGUGAAGCUCAUUUACAGGUGCUUUUAGGAGGUGGUGGUUAUCGGUCAAGCAAUCCUAGUACAUCUAAUGUUGCUACAGAUUCGUUUCUGUCAUCACUUAUGUUUAACUUUCCUGCAUCUGAAGCUGAUGAAAUUACAAAGUCGAUGGCCCCCAUUGUUGAGGAUACUUAUAAGAAGAGUACGACUUCGAUAAAGCCUCGUAAACCAAGCAUUGAGUUUGAUGCAGGUUAACAGGAAAAAUAUAGUGCAUUUAUCUCUAUGAAGAGCCAUGCAUAAGUUUUAUAGUCAAGCUUUCAAAUAUCAUUGUUUCUGAUGUCAGUUUUGCAGAAUCUCAUUUAUAAGGUUAAUCUAGUUUUGACUCUUCUUUGAGUCGAGAAGAGAGGGAACAAAAGACUAUGAGAGCUGAGUUUGUGCAAGAUCUUCUACUCUCUACACUGUUUGGGGAUUAAUAGAAGCACAACGACCCCACAGAUGUUUGGUAAACGUAGGGAGAGUUCGAGCCCAUAAUAAAUUGUCAUUAGGUGCUGCUUGGUGGGACACCCAGGUAGUCUGCUAUGGAUGUUUCAUUCCAGGAUGCUGUUUCAGGAGUACCUAUGUAUCCCAUUCUUCCGUCCUUUUGACGAUUUAUGUUUUUACGAAGAAGUGGGAUGGUCUUCUUCUCUGGAUUUAUCAUGUUUAACAGUUCUUCAGAAAAAACCAACCUAUUCUGUAAUGAGACAAUUCCAUGCCUGUUUUCUUUCUGGUAAGAAGGUGGGUUAAUACAUUGAUGUGGCAAA